AUGAAUGAACCACCAAGAGUUCGUAUGAGAGUUGGUUUAACCGCCCUAACUAUGGUAGAAUAUUUCUGAGAUGUUAAUAAGCAAGACGUGCUUUUAUUUAUUGAUAAUAUCUUUCGUUUUAUUCAAGCAGGAUCAGAGGUAUCUGCUUUAUUAGGGAGAAUGCCCUCCACAGUUGGUUAUCAACCUACUCUUAGUACAGAAAUGGGUUCGAGUCAACUUUCUUGGGUUGAUCGAGAUGGAGAGAGAGACAUACAAUACUGA
rnacentral:rRNA from 1 species